rnacentral:rRNA from 1 species
GACGAACGCUGGCGGCGUGCUUAACACAUGCAAGUGGUGCGACGAACCAGGGCUUGCCCUGGGGCAAAGCCGCGAACGGGUGAGUAACACGUGAGUAACCUGCCCCGAUGACCGGGACAACCCGAGGAAACUCGGGCUAAUACCGGAUGUGGCGCACAGGCAUCAGCCUGUUCGCUAAAGGAAGCUUCGGCCUCCGCAUUGGGAGGGGCUCGCGGCCCAUUAGCUUGUUGGUGGGGAACGGCCUACCAAGGCAACGAUGGGUAGCUGGUCUGAGAGGACGAUCAGCCACACUGGGACUGAGACACGGCCCAGACUCCUACGGGAGGCAGCAGUGGGGAAUCUUGCGCAAUGCGCGAAAGCGUGACGCAGCAACGCCGCGUGGGGAA